AUGUCCACCUCUCCAAGCACCAGCUCCUCCCUCACCUCCCCAUCCCUCCCCGCCACCACCACCUCCACCACCGGCGCCAUCACCACCAUUGCCAUGCCCGCCACCGCAUCUCCCGCUGUCAACGUCGCAAGUGUCCGCACACAUGUCCCUGUUACCUUGGACCUUCAGGCUUCCAAUUUCACCAAGUGGAGGAUGCUCAUUAGGGUUCUUCUCGGCAAGUACGACCUUCUCUCCCACGUCAACACCGCCACCGCCGAGGCACACCGCACCGCGGACUGGAUGCGCGAGGAUUACGUCGUGCGUUCUUGGCUGUACGGGUCCAUCUCUGAUGAGAUUCUGGACAUUAUCAUGAUGACACUCAUCUCACCGAUGUCGCUUCCGUAG
rnacentral:rRNA from 1 species